rnacentral:lncRNA from 1 species
CCUCUAGAUUUGACUGAUUUAUCUUAAGCUUUUUGAUAUGGUUUUAAUUGAUUCAAGUCAUCUCAAAAUGCCCUAAAGCCAUUUUGGAAACUUUGAAUCUUUUCUAUUUUGAGACGGUACUCAAGUCGACUCGAGUUGAGUUUCAAGUCAACUCAAAAUUUGAGUUAACUCGAAGAGUUUUGAGUCGACUCGAUCAUCAAGACCACAUUUUUAAUCGAAUAAUUUGUCAGAUCCAG